rnacentral:rRNA from 1 species
UGGCGGACGGGUGAGGAAUACAUCGGAAUCUACUCUGUCGUGGGGGAUAACGUAGGGAAACUUACGCUAAUACCGCAUACGACCUACGGGUGAAAGCAGGGGAUCUUCGGGCCUUGCGCGAUUGAAUGAGCCGAUGUCGGAUUAGCUAGUUGGCGGGGUAAAGGCCCACCAAGGCGACGAUCCGUAGCUGGUCUGAGAGGAUGAUCAGCCACACUGGAACUGAGACACGGUCCAGACUCCUACGGGAGGCAGCAGCU